CUUAAUUUGACUCAACACGGGAAAACUUACCAGGUCCGAACUUAUUGAGGUAAGACAGAUUAAUAGCUCUUUCUCAAAAUUAAGGGUAGUGGUGCAUGGUCGUUCUCAGUUCGUGGAAUGAUUUGUAUGGUUAAUUCCGAUAACGAACAUGACUCAAUCAAAUUAAAUAGAACGCUAUCAGCAGUCAGAUGUUUGAUACCGACGGUUCGGGCAACGGUCGCUCGCGGCUCGCGCUCGGCUGGCGGUGUAGUGUGACCUGAUAAUACGUCAACCCAUCGUGGUUGACUUCUGCUUAAUAGGACAAUUAAGCUCGUGAACGACCCGGAGAAUGGCCUCGUUUUCGACCG
rnacentral:ncRNA from 2 species